CCUAUGGGGUGCAGCAGGCGCGAAAACUCCGCAAUGCGCGCAAGCGUGACGGGGGAACCCCAAGUGCCGCUGAUCUUUGAUCGGCGGCUUUUCGGGAGUGUAGGGAGCUCCCGGAAUAAGGGCUGGGUAAGACUGGUGCCAGCCGCCGCGGUAAUACCAGCAGCCCAAGUGGUGGUCGCGUUUAUUGGGCCUAAAGCGCUCGUAGCCUGGCCGGUAAGUUCCCCGUGAAAUCGGGUCGCUCAACGAUUCGGCUUGCGGGGAAUACUGUCGGUCUUGGGGCCGGGAGACGCCGAGGGUAUUCCGGGGGUAGCGGUGAAAUGCUGUAAUCCUCGGAGGACUACCAGUGGCGAAGGCGCUCGGCGAGAACGGGCCUGACGGUGAGGGGCGAAAGCUGGGGGAGCGAACGGGAUUAGAUACCCCGGUAGUCCCAGCCGUAAAGGAUGCGGGCAAGGUGCUCGUCGCUCUUCGAGGGCGCCGGGUGCCGUAGAGAAGUCGUUAAGCCCGCCGCCUGGGAAGUACGGUCGCAAGGCUGAAACUUAAAGAAAUUGGCGGGGGAGCACCACAAGGGGUGGAACCUGCGGUUCAAUUGGAUUCAACGCCGGACAACUCACCAAGGUCUUCGGCUGGAUGAGGAGCCAGUCUAAAGGGCCUGCUCGACUAGCC
rnacentral:rRNA from 1 species